CAGCCGCCACGGUAAUACGAAGGGGGCUAGCGUUGUUCGGAUUUACUGGGCGUAAAGCGCACGUAGGCGGACUUUUAAGUCAGGGGUGAAAUCCCGGGGCUCAACCCCGGAACUGCCUUUGAUACUGGAAGUCUUGAGUAUGGUAGAGGUGAGUGGAAUUCCGAGUGUAGAGGUGAAAUUCGUAGAUAUUCGGAGGAACACCAGUGGCGAAGGCGGCUCACUGGACCAUUACUGACGCUGAGGUGCGAAAGCGUGGGGAGCAAACAGGAUUAGAUACCCGGGUAGUCCCUGUCUCUUAUAA
rnacentral:rRNA from 1 species